GACGUAGGGCGCGAGCGUUGUCCGGAUUUAUUGGGCGUAAAGAGCUCGUAGGCGGCUGUUCAAGUCGAACGUGAAAACUCGGAGCUCAACUCCGAGCCUGCGUUCGAUACUGGACGGCUAGAGUCUGGUAGGGGGAUCUGGAAUUCCUGGUGUAGCGGUGGAAUGCGCAGAUAUCAGGAGGAACACCGGUGGCGAAGGCGGGUCUCUGGGCCGUAACUGACGCUGAGGAGCGAAAGCAUGGGGAGCGAACAGG
rnacentral:rRNA from 1 species